rnacentral:lncRNA from 1 species
UGUGGGAGGAGAUUUUGUUGCUUUCUAUUUCCCUUUACUGUUUUUAGUUAGAUUGUUUACUUUUAUUGCUUUUUAGUUGUUUACUUUAUUUUAUUUUAUUUUUAGUUAGUGUGUUUUAGAAAAUACAUGUGUCUGAUGAGUCACCAGUAUAGUGUAUCUUUAGUACAUCCUCAUCUCCCCACUCCUUUAGCCCUACCAAAAUUUU